UGGAUGCAGUGAGAUGCUUGGCUGGUUCCUGACUUUCAGGAUAAAUACACAAUGGGAUGAAACCGACCUUCUUCCAGAAUCUUUAGAUCAGCCCUAUUACGUUCGAUAGUCUGGCAUCAGCUCAUAACUGCGCUCAAGCAUCCUGCGAGUUCCCACCCAGCUAUACUUCCAGUUCCCACCCAGCUAUACUUCCAGAAGCUACAGACAGCAAUGGAGGCUCUCAUGGGAUGGGGAGAAUUUGGGGCCCAGGAGCUCACUAACUAAAGCGUCUGCAUUUAACUGUUAGUAGGCUUUGUGCAUUGGGAGUCCUUAACUGUCAAAAAAAAAAAUUUAAAAAGGAGAAGAAAUUCUGUUCAAAAGAUGGUUGCAUACAUCAAUGUCUGAUUUUUUUGGGGGGAUGCAAGUAAUCUAUCUUAAAGUAGUGAUGUCUAGGAAAGCAAAUACUGUUAUUAGGGAUAGUUUUAAGAGGUAGGGGUUGAAGUGUAGAUAAGAAUCUUGAAUUACAAGAUUCAGAUAUUUCUAAGCUCUUAGGGCUUCAGUUAAUAGGCUUAUGAAUAUUUAUUGAUAGCCUGAUAGAUAAAAUGAAAAUUUACUUGCUGCAUCAUGGACAAAUUCAAUUUGAAGGAUCUCCUCCUUGCAGUUUUCUGUUCGUGUGUACUAAAAUCAUCUCCCCCUCCA
rnacentral:lncRNA from 1 species